GAUGAAGAACGUAGCGAAAUGCGAUACGUAAUGUGAAUUGCAGAAUUCAGUGAAUCAUCGAGUCUUUGAACGCACAUUGCGCCCUCUGGUAUUCCGGAGGGCAUGCCUGUCCGAGCGUCAUUGCUGCCCUCAAGCACGGCUUGUGUGUUGGGCCCCGCCCCCCGAUCCCGGGGGGCGGGCCCGAAAGGCAGCGGCGGCACCGCGUCCGGUCCUCGAGCGUAUGGGGCUUUGUCACCCGCUCUGUAGGCCCGGCCGGCGCCUGCCGAUCAACCAAACUUUUUUCCAGGUUGACCUCGGAUCAGGUAGGGAUACCCGCUGAACUUAAGCAUAUCAAUAAGAGGAGGA
rnacentral:misc_RNA from 1 species